GUCCGCGUAGCUCAGAGGAUAGAGCGCUUGACUUCUAAUCAAGCGGCCGCGGGUUCGAUCCCCGUCGUGGACA
rnacentral:tRNA from 2 species